AGCCUUCUCUAUCCGUGCUGAGAUUUCGUCACACACACACACACCAGACCACAAGGGAUGAUGAGACUCCCAAGAUAAGUGAAGUG
rnacentral:pre_miRNA from 1 species